rnacentral:rRNA from 1 species
CCUACGGGAGGCAGCAGUGGGGAAUUUUGGACAAUGGGCGCAAGCCUGAUCCAGCAAUGCCGCGUGCAGGAUGAAGGCCUUCGGGUUGUAAACUGCUUUUGUACGGAACGAAACGGUGAGCUCUAAUACAGUUUGCUAAUGACGGUACCGUAAGAAUAAGCACCGGCUAACUACGUGCCAGCAGCCGCGGUAAUACGUAGGGUGCGAGCGUUAAUCGGAAUUACUGGGCGUAAAGCGUGCGCAGGCGGUGAUGUAAGACAGAUGUGAAAUGCCCGGGCUCAACCUGGGACCUGCAUUUGUGACUGCAUCGCUAGAGUACGGUAGAGGGGGAUGGAAUUCCGCGUGUAGCAGUGAAAUGCGUAGAUAUGCGGAGGAACACCGAUGGCGAAGGCAAUCCCCUGGACCUGUACUGACGCUCAUGCACGAAAGCGUGGGGAGCAAACAGGAUUAGAUACCCUGGUAGUCCACGCCCUAAACGAUGUCAACUGGUUGUUGGGUCUUCACUGACUCAGUAACGAAGCUAACGCGUGAAGUUGACCGCCUUGGGGAGUUACGGCCGCAAGGUUGAAACGUCAAAUUGAAUUGACGGCUUGAGACGNGCGAGGACGACACGAGGAGAG